rnacentral:rRNA from 1 species
CGUGUAGGCGGUUUGGUAAGUCUGAUGUGAAAGCCCUGGGCUCAACCCGGGAAGUGCAUUGGAAACUGUCAGACUUGAAUACGGGAGAGGGUAGUGGAAUUCCUGGUGUAGGAGUGAAAUCCGUAGAUAUCAGGAGGAACACCGGUGGCGAAGGCGGCUGCCUGGACCGAUAUUGACGCUGAGACGCGAAAGCGUGGGUAGCAAACAGGAUUAGAUACCCUGGUAGUCCACGCCGUAAACGAUGAGUACUAGGUGUUGCGGGUAUUGACCCCUGCAGUGCCGCAGCUAGCGCAUUAAGUACUCCGCCUGGGAAGUACGGUCGCAAGACUAAA